rnacentral:rRNA from 1 species
AUACGUAGGGGGCGAGCGUUGUCCGGAAUGAUUGGGCGUAAAGGGCGCGUAGGCGGCCCGGUAAGUCUGGAGUGAAUGUCCUGUUUUUAAGAUGGGAAUUGCUUUGGAUACUGUCGGGCUUGAGUGCAGGAGAGGUAAGUGGAAUUCCCAGUGUAGCGGUGAAAUGCGUAGAGAUUGGGAGGAACACCAGUGGCGAAGGCGACUUACUGGACUGUAACUGACGCUGAGGCGCGAAAGUGUGGGGAGCAAACAGGAUUAGAUACCCUGGUAGUCCACACUGUAAACGAUGAAUGCUAGGUGUAGGGGGUAUCGACCCCUUCUGUGCCGCAGUCAACACAAUAAGCAUUCCGCCUGGGGAGUACGGCCGCAAGGUUGAAACUCAAAUGAAUUGACGGGG